rnacentral:rRNA from 1 species
GACAGAGGGUGCAAACGUUGUUCGGAAUUACUGGGCGUAAAGCGCGUGUAGGCGGCAGCGUGUGUCGGGCGUGAAAUCCCACGGCUCAACCGUGGAAGUGCACUCGAAACUGCGCAGCUAGAGUCCUGGAGAGGAAGGUGGAAUGCUUGGUGUAGAGGUGAAAUUCGUAGAUAUCAAGCGGAACACCGGUGGCGAAGGCGGCCUUCUGGACAGUGACUGACGCUGAGACGCGAAAGCGUGGGGAGCAAACAGG